UACAGAGGUGGCAGGCGUUGUUCGGAAUUACUGGGCGUAAAGGGCGCGUAGGCGGCCAUCUAAGUCAGACGUGAAAUCCCCCGGCUUAACCUGGGAACUGCGUCUGAUACUGGACGGCUUGAGUAUGGGAGAGGGAUGUAGAAUUCCAGGUGUAGCGGUGAAAUGCGUAGAUAUCUGGAGGAAUACCGGUGGCGAAGGCGGCAUCCUGGACCAUUACUGACGCUGAUGCGCGAAAGCUAGGGGAGCAAACGGG
rnacentral:rRNA from 1 species